rnacentral:lncRNA from 1 species
GAGGUGUCCUGUAUCAUUCGUUACACAGAAAGAGUUUGGGAGGCUAUCACUAAUGCAUGCUAAUAUUGCCUACGCUGCUCUAUUUUAAUCAAUCCAUUUAUCACAGUUUUGGUAAGAAGAGUCACAUGUUGGUGGUAGAAUGAAUUCAAUCUGCUCUCUGUCUACAUGUCAAAAAAUUCUCACUGAUAUUACCUUAAAACACCUUUAUUUUUACAUUGUUAAUUCAACUUGAGUAUCAUAACGUGUCUUUAUUAAUUUAAAGGAGACACACUGUAUAGGGCCUAUUACCAAAUCCUAUACUUCAUAGUUUGCUAAAAAAAGAAAAAAAAGUCCAAAAUUUGUUUAAAUAUAAAUAAUGUAAAAUAUCAUCAGUUUUCUUUGUCAACAUUUGUACAUAAGAAGAUUAUUUUCGGGUUAAUGACAUGGCAAUUUAUUUUACCUUAUCCUGUUGCUUCUUAUUUUUAAAUCAAAACUCCAAACUUUUGCAUCCAAAAGACUUUUCAAUAGAUAAUUUCCUAAAAUAAAAGUUAGACAAUGGGUUUUAUGGAUUUCUUUGUUAUAAUAUAUUUUCUACCAUCCUAAUAAGAGAUACGUUGGUCAAAAUCUCAAACCCUAACCAUUUUCUACCAACUCUGGUUGCCUGCAGAGAAUCCUUCACUCAUGGAAGUUUGGGUUUUUUUGUUUAUUUUUUGGGUUUUUUUUUUUUUAACUCAACUUUUGUAGUAUUUGCAUAUGCGGACUAGGCUUAUUUUUUUAAAUCCUGCUGCACUAAAGGUAUCAUGGAUCUAACACGGGCUCUGUCCUUUCUAACCAGGAACCAAGUGGGAAAGUUGUGCAAUUGCCUAACAUGAUACAACUCUUUUCUCCUUUCUCUUCUUUUUUUCACAAACCAAAAGUUUAGUGUUCAUUCCUUUUACAAAACUCUUCACUGUAGUAUACUGAUGAACUGCAUGCAGGGAAUGGCGAGCUACUUCGUUAUUGAGCCAAAAGAAUAAAUAUUUCAUUUUUUUUUUACUGUAUCUGAUUUGUUGGACUGAGUAUUUUCUUUUUUAAGUUAUCGGCAGGUAAAAAUUUACACAACUAAAGAAAACCUGUAUUUGAUUCGACAUUUGUAUUCAUAGAAGUUCACAUGGGUUUUGUAACACCCUGCUACACUAUCUACUGAGAAGUUUGUCAAAAUAAAGACUAGUUAAAAGCAGUUUGGUGAACUCUUCCUUCAUCAAAGGGGCAGCCCAUUCGAUCAAACCUUCGGGUUCGACAGUACUGGCAGUAGCCCUUACCACUGACUGACCAUUUCAGUUUCUUUAUUAAAUUACCAAGAACCUAAUCUCGAUGCUUCUGGGUAUCCAUGGUGUUGUGUCCUAACAUUUUGGACACUCAUGCUUCAUUUCAUAGCACACUCUGUAGCCUAUGAAGAAUUAGUUACCCAGGGAUUAAAAAUUUAUGUUAGCUUUUCAGGGUUUCUUACAGUUUUGUCAGCUCAAUACAGAACCUUUAUCUCAACAGAAAACUCAAGUUGUAAUGAAUACUUUCACAAAGACUUAGAUCUAAAUAUGUAUUUCAUAAUUGCCCUAAAAUGUUACUAAUGGGAUUCAUUUACUGGCUUCUGCCUAGUCAAGUCAAUUUACAGGUUUGACUGAUACCAGAGAAGCAAAAUACUGAUUUUCAAAAUCCUAAGUGUUUUAAAGCACUGUGAUAUAUAAUCAAUAACCAAGUCUCUGUAAGAAACCAAUUAAUAUGCAUUACACCAGAGCCACUGUCUUUGAAAGUAAUGGCUUCAGUUGAGAAAGAACACCUCUGAAAGAUACCUUUCUAGAAAAGUGUUGUUAUACAAACAUAGAGGCAUAGAUACAAUUUGAUAGACUUUUAAAAUAACUGCUUUUGUACAUAAUAAAAUCUUUUCAGCUAAAAUGUUUUCAUUUUAGAAUUUCAUGUGAAAAAUAACAAUGACUUAGUCAAAUUCUUCCUCCCAGAAGCAACAAUACUAUGACAAGAAAAAAACUUAGUUUUAGUAACAAGGGAUAUCAGUAUAAAUAUCUAGGUUUUGUUUGUUUGUUUGUUUGUUUGUUUGUUUCUGAGAAAUGUGAGGGAAAUGAGCUUUCUGAUUUUCAAUUGCAACCAAGGGUAUUGAACUAUGUAAAAUAAUGCCUCUGACUGACAUUUCAAGUAAAUAGGAUACAAUAAACACCAUGAACCCCAUUUCUAUGCAUUGCGUCCACGUAGAUAAUUGUUGAGGAAGUCAAUGAUGACAUUUUAUAAAAAUGUAAUAUGAUCAGGGCCAGAAAUUCUGACCCAUGUCUUCAGCUCCAUUUUUGGUAUCAGAUUAAAGGUGUAAUUCUGUGG